rnacentral:rRNA from 1 species
AGAGUUUGAUCCUGGCUCAGAACGAACGCUGGCGGCAUGCCUAACACAUGCAAGUCGAACGAGACCUUCGGGUCUGGUGGCGCACGGGUGCGUAACGCGUGGGAAUCUGCCCUUGGGUUCGGAAUAACUGGGAGAAAUUCCAGCUAAUACCGGAUGAUGUCUUCGGACCAAAGAUUUAUCGCCCAAGGAUGAGCCCGCGUAGGAUUAGCUAGUUGGUGAGGUAAAGGCUCACCAAGGCGACGAUCCUUAGCUGGUCUGAGAGGAUGAUCAGCCACACUGGGACUGAGACACGGCCCAGACUCCUACGGGAGGCAGCAGUGGGGAAUAUUGGACAAUGGGCGAAAGCCUGAUCCAGCAAUGCCGCGUGAGUGAUGAAGGCCUUAGGGUUGUAAAGCUCUUUUACCCGGGAUGAUAAUGACCGUACCGGGAGAAUAAGCUCCGGCUAACUCCGUG